GAUGAACGCUGGCGGCGUGCCUAAUACAUGCAAGUCGAGCGAACGGACGAGAACUUUUCUCCCCUGAUGUUAGCGGCGGACGGGAGAGUAACAUGUGGAUAACCUACCUAUAAGACUGGGAUAACUUCGGGAAACCGGAGCUUAUACCGGAUAAUAUUUUGAACCGCAUUGUUCAAAAGUGAAAGUCGCUCUUGCGGUCACUAAUAGAUUGCUCCGCGCUGCAUUAGUUAGUUGGUAAGGUAACGGCUUACCAAGGCAACGAUGCAUACCCGACCUGAGAGGGUGGACGCCCACCCUGGAAGUGAGACACGGUCCAGACUCCUACGGAAGGCAGCAGUAGGGAAUCGUCCGCAAAGGGCGAAAGCCUGACGGAGCAACGCCGCGUAAGUGAUGAAGGUCUUCGGAUCGUAAAGCUCUGUUAUUAGGGAAGAACAUAUGUCUACGUAACAGUGAACAUCAUGACGGUACCUGAACAGAAAGCCCCGGCUAACUACGUG
rnacentral:rRNA from 1 species